CAGUGCCUUCAACCUCGGAGGUCAAAAGUCAAGAUUCAGGGAAGGAAAAUGUAGAGCAGGAAUCCUCUCUCUUUCACGUCACCAUCCCUAUUAACAUCCACCUACAGCCAGUUGUCAAGAACUCACUAGACAAGACUGCCGUCCCUCCUGAAGCCCAGGGUGUAGUACUUCCUCUGAAUGUCUCCCUGUUGCAGGAUGAACUGUCAGUCCAGAAAA